rnacentral:rRNA from 1 species
UACGGAGGGGGCGAGCGUUAUUCGGAAUUAUUGGGCGUAAAGGGCGCGUAGGCGGCCCUGUAAGUCAAAGGUGAAAUCCCUCAGCUUAACUGGGGAACUGCGUCUGAUACUGGAUGGCUUGAGUUUGGGAGAGGGACGCGGAAUUCCAGGUGUAGCGGUGAAAUGCGUAGAUAUCUGGAGGAAUACCGGUGGCGAAGGCGGCAUCCUGGACCGGCAUUGACGCUGAUGAGCGAAAGCUAGGGGAGCAAACGGG